CACUAACAUCUCUACCUGGAAGCUAUGUUUGUAUAUGCAAUACUGGUUUCACUGGAAAUGGUACAGAAUGUGAAGGUUAGUAUGACUAAAAACAUUUCACUUUUCUGUUAGGCUACGUGACAGAAACCAUUAUUUUUUGGUAGAACGGGAAUCUGCGCACACUAGCUCGACUUUAUUACUGGUAAAAACAUGUCUAAGAGUUCUUUGUGAGUUGCGAAAUUGUAUUAACAUAAAAUCUCAUGCUUUGAAUUAUUAAAUAUUAAAUUUAGAUAUCGACGAAUGUACUAUCGGAGCUGAUAAUUGCAAUGUUAACGCGUACUGUAAUAAUACACUUGGUUCCUAUAUAUGCGCAUGUAAGAAAGACUUCACUGGAGAUGGUGUCAAUUGUGAUGGUAAGGAUGAGUAGUUUUUAAAGCACGUUAAUUGUCGG